rnacentral:lncRNA from 1 species
GGAGCCUGUAAAUCGGUGUUUAUGUGUUACACAUUCGUUUUUCGUUGUUUUUUUUUAAAACAUAAAUAAGGUCAUUAGUUUUCUCGUUUGAAUUGUUUCACAUCUGUCAUUUCAGGGCCUUUUAUAGCUGAUUAUGCGGUAUUGGUUUUGCUCAUUAUUGAUGGCCGUAAAGUGAACUGUAGUUGUUAAUUUCUGUGUCGAUUUGGUCUCUUGUGGAGAAUUGUCUCAUUGGCAAUCAUACCACAUCUUUUUUAUAUGUAUUUGCUGACUAUUUGUAUGGUUCUAUUUAUAUUACUUUGUGGUGGAUCGUCAGUAUCAUUAGUAAAAAUAUUUAUUAAAAUGUCGAAUUGUUCCGUUCCUCAGAUUAGAAUACAUUUAUUGGUUUU